rnacentral:lncRNA from 1 species
UUGGGACAAGAUAAAAGAAAUUUUGAUACCUUAUACCCUUGUUCAUAACUAUGUUGUCCUUGGCUUGCAUUUGGCCAAUUUUGUUAUUUAAUUUGUUCUAAACUUUUGGAAAGCUUUUUGGACUCUUACAAAAAUUAUAUUUUCUUUGCUUUGCUGCAACACCGCCGUCCAGUCAUUCGAAUUUAAAAGUCUUUAUUUUGAGGAGAAGAAACACAAUCUUCUGUGAAUACAUGAAUCUCAUAUGCCUGUAACAGUUCAUCAUGGGCGAGAAAAAAACUUGUGCAUUCCAAUUAAGACCUAGUGAAGCUCCACGCAGGCAUUCCCUUCC